rnacentral:rRNA from 1 species
GAUUAACGCUGGCGGCGUGCAUAACACAUGCAAGUCGAACGAUGAAACUUAACUGAUUUCUUCGGAAUGAUUUUAAGUGGAUUAGUGGCGGACGGGUGAGUAACGCGUGAGUAACCUGCCUUGGAGAAGGGGAUAGCCUUUGGAAACGAAGAAUAAUACCCUAUGAUAUGAUAAUAUCUCAUGAUAUUAUCAUCAAAGAUUUAUCGCUCUAAGAUGGACUUGCGUCUGAUUAGUUAGUUGGUGAGGUAACAGCUCACCAAGGCAGCGAUCAGUAGCCGGCUUGAGAGAGUGGACGGCCACAUUGGGACUGAGACACGGCCCAGACUCCUACGGGAGGCAGCAGUGGGGAAUUUUGCACAAUGGGGGAAACCCUGAUGCAGCGACGCCGCGUGAUUUAGAAGGCCUUCGGGUUGUAAAAAUCUUUUGUAUGGGAAGAAAAUGACAGUACCAUACGAAUAAGGACCGGCUAAUUACGUG